GGGCCCUCUUCAUCUGUACCUCUCAAGCUUGUGAACCCCGAGCCCAGCAAUGGUCUGUUUACAGUUUGAGCUUCCUGUACCAGCACUGGCUGCCCGGGCUGCGUCUGUUCCUGAACUUCUGCUCCUGGUAAGCCAGGGUUCUCUGAAUUCACCUGUCUCUCAAACUUGAUGGUGGUGGGGGGCACUAGUUUGACCUGUGACCUCAGUUCUCUGAUGAAUCUAAGAAAAGGUGUUGAUUUUCAGUUUGUAUGGCUUUUUUUCUUGCUUCAGGGACCAUAGUGACAGUGUCUAACCUGGAAAAUACAAGUUUUGCUUGGGCUUUUCUCCAGAUAUUUGUCCUAUUAUGAGUAAUUAUUGCCCAUGUCAUUUCAUGCAUAUGUGCCCGUGUUUGUUACCCCAGCAGGGAAAUCCUGUGUCUUGGGAUAUGCUUAUUCUUAAGUUCUAUUCAGUGUGGGACAUAACUGAGUCCCUCCCUACACGGGGUGUUGCCAGUCUUUUUAAAGAAUGCUGGGUGCUCUCUCAUUGGGAUUUUAGUUUGCAUUUACAUGAACACGAGGAAGUUGAGCACAUUUGGACCUUUCUUUCAUGAAUGGCAUGUUCAAGCUUUCUACCUACUUUCCUCUGGGGUUGUGUGUCUUGCUGAUUUACAGAAACUCUCUUGCAUGUAUCGGAUGGAUCU
rnacentral:lncRNA from 1 species